rnacentral:rRNA from 1 species
UACGUAGGGUGCGAGCGUUAAUCGGAAUUACUGGGCGUAAAGCGUGCGCAGGCGGUUCGCUGUGUCCGAUGUGAAAGCCCCGGGCUUAACCUGGGAAUGGCAUUGGAAACUGGCGGGCUUGAGUGCGGCAGAGGGGGGUGGAAUUCCGCGUGUAGCAGUGAAAUGCGUAGAGAUGCGGAGGAACACCGAUGGCGAAGGCAGCCCCCUGGGUCGACACUGACGCUCAGGCACGAAAGCGUGGGGAGCGAACAGG